GGGCGACUAGCUCAGGUGGUUAGAGCGCCGUCUUCACACGGCGGAGGUCCGCGGUUCGAGCCCGCGGUCGCCCACCA
rnacentral:tRNA from 1 species